rnacentral:misc_RNA from 1 species
UUUCCGUAGGUGAAACUGCGGAAGGAUCAUUGUUGUAUAGCCGAGGUGCGAGGGCUGUCGCUGACCCGACAGGUCGUGCACGCCCGAGGGCCCUCACACACAUCCAUCUCACCCCUAUGUGCACCACCGCGUGGGUCCCCCUUUGGCUUGUUCGGAGGGGGGCUUACGUUUUCACACAAACUUUGUAUGCAGUGUAGAAUGUAUUUUUUGUUUUUGCGAUCACGCAAUCAAUACAACUUUCAACAACGGAUCUCUUGGCUCUC